ACGUAGGGACCAAGCGUUGUUCGGAUUUACUGGGCGUAAAGGGCGCGUAGGCGGUGUUGUAAGUCACUUGUGAAAUCUCUGAGCUUAACUCAGAACGGCCAAGUGAUACUGCAGCACUAGAGUGCAGAAGGGGCAAUCGGAAUUCUUGGUGUAGCGGUGAAAUGCGUAGAUAUCAAGAGGAACACCUGAGGUGAAGACGGGUUGCUGGGCUGACACUGACGCUGAGGCGCGAAAGCUAGGGGAGCAAACGGGAUUAGAUACCCCGGUAGUCCUAGCCCUAAACGAUGAAUACUUGGUGUCUGGAGUCUUUAAGGCUCCGGGUGCCGUCGCUAACGUUUUAAGUAUUCCGCCUGGGGAGUACGCUCGCAAGAGUG
rnacentral:rRNA from 1 species